CAAGUUCAGACGUCAUUACCUUUCGUUUUUGACGAAUUAAAUCUUGCAUUAUUUAGAUACAAACAAAAACUGCAAGUAAUAAUAAUAAUAAACUCUUCAAUCAAAACAUUUGAUAUGUAUUUAAACUUAAAACUAAAAUGCAUGUUGCUUCUAAAACUUCCCAUAUCUCCUAUCUUGGCUGCCGCGCCCCACACUUCAAAUCUCGUCUACAUGCCCAACUAAUUUCUAGAGUUACCGCCAAGGGUUCACAUCCGAAUGGAGCCCUCUAACGGCAGGAGAUCCUGAAGAUAUCAGAUGUCAUACCGACUCCACACUAUCAUCGAACAGUUUGCAGGAUUCCGUAUACAUUGCUAGUUUUUCAUUGCGGUAAAUAAAAGCUCUUAUACAAAUUACGCAAUGUUCACGCAUUGCGUCGGCAUGUGCUCGAGUUCAACGACAGUGUAUAGUUGGCGUGAAGGGUUGGUCGAGGCGAUAUCUGCACUUUUCAGAGUUGAGGAUAGUACCUACCACUCUUAUAGUAUACUGACUGGAUGUCCACAGAACAGAAACUUAAAUGGUACUAAAAUGCAGCAGAUACUGUGUUAUCUAAGAUAAUUAUGUAAUUGAUAAUUGUGUAUAAAUAAGGAAGAAAAGAAGAAAUUUCAUCAAGGCGAGUAAUUAGUGUAGAAAAAUCGAUGGUUUUGUGCAUCAUUAUCUCCUUUGUAGCGAGGAUGCAGUUAAUUACAGCAGGUCACAGGUCCAACUACCAACGGCCAACGGCCCCUUGAGUGUGUGAGCCCCGGUGAUGCUACCGCCUUGUUUCAAGUAACUACGUCACGUAAGCGCGCAAUUAAUUAGAACCUGCAGCGACUGCCGUCGACUGCUCGAAGAAAUCUAUUGUAGCCGGGAAUUGCUAUCAUAAUUUAUUUUAAAACAGCGCAAUGCGAUUGCGACGUGUAGGUACUUAAAUAGUGUAAAUUAUAAUUGUACUAAUUUGUGUAGAUUUGUAUACAUACCUUCACGUCUAUAUCCAUUACAAGAUGGACAGAGUCAGAGUUGUGAAACUUGAAGUUCACGUUUAGCUGUUUUGAAGUCUUCAUUCCGCGGUCUACAUAAAAAAAUAAAAUACUCACAUAUACUAAUUCAAUCAACAAAAAAUCUAUCACUUAUCCAUUAAUGGCUAUUGAAUAACACAAGGGUUCUUAUUUAUCAGUUGAGACCUGUUUCACAGGUUACUCAUCUACAAUGGCUCUUCGACGUUGAUUGAUGAAAGUCACACGUUGGGCGCCAAAUAAGCCUCCUCUAUACAUCCCUGAAGUGCCUCUAUACAUUCGUGAAAUGCUUUUAUGCGUUCAAAUACCACACUUAAUGUACCUAUUGUUAGUACUUACGCAUAUAGGUAAAAUUGUAUUCAUAAAAAAGUAAAAAUGUAUAUUACAAAAUAUAUUUUUCUCAUUCAGUCAAUAUUAUAUACUGUAAAGUGACAAGGACAACACACAUCUUGUAACUAAAAUACUUGUACCCAACUUUUUACGAUUGUAUUAAGAAUGUUGAAAUAUAAUAGUACUAUAGGAAAUACAUUUUUAAUGACGCAGAGGUAAAAAACUACGGCGUAAUAAUUAUUGAUAGCAUCGAUUAUACUCGUACCUCUACGGUAAAACGAAUGAUUCAAAAACAUUGAUAAAACUACAUUUUUGAUACAUAUUUGAACUUUGAUAAAACUGCAUUUUUCUUGAAAUAAUUGUCUAACUACUAAAUACUGUACUAUAUACUGUCUAAUAACUAAAUAGUCAAGCUUCAAGCCGGCACAAUCUUGCUUUGCUUACAGAUACUUGUACCAUGAAGAAUAUUUAUCACACGAAAUUAUAUAGUCUUUUGUGUAAGGUAUAACCUUAUCAAAUAUAAAAACAAAUCGACGAAUAUGUCUUGAACUAUAUUCGAUUCCUUACAUCUUCUAAUUGCGGCUGUGAAAAUGCAAAAUAACUUUCAAAAGAAAAAAAAGAAAAUGGCUAAUAAUAGGAAAAUGGCCCAUAAAAUAUUUCUAAAAGAACCACAGUAUUCAAAUAAGAAAGGGUUUUUGUUUUUCAUUGCAGCUUUUUGGCUAAUAAAAGGAUUGUUAGACCCACCUGGUUCUAAAUUGCUCGUUCAACCAAUUUUGUAUUUUCAACUCUGUCAAUUGGGUAUAUUACAUUUGUUAGAAGCCUUUGAUUCCAUUUGUAUUAUUAUAUUGUUAGGGUUAGGUUAAUUUUAAUUUCAUUGCGCGAAAUUAUAAAGUUAUUAUUUGUGAUUUUAGUAUGUGAGAUUUAGAUUGAAUUGAUGCUACAGUGAAAAAAAAACGCGUUGAACUCCGGGAGUGCCGACAGAAGUAAAACUUGAAUAUUAA